rnacentral:rRNA from 1 species
CCUACGGGAGGCAGCAGUGGGGGAUAUUGCACAAUGGGGGAAACCCUGAUGCAGCGACGCCGCGUGGGCGAAGAAGUAUUUCGGUAUGUAAAGCCCUAUCAGCAGGGAAGAAGAAAUGACGGUACCUGAGUAAGAAGCACCGGCAAAAUACGUGCCAGCAGCCGCGGUAAUACGGAGGAUGCGAGCGUUAUCCGGAUUUAUUGGGUUUAAAGGGUGCGCAGGCGGAUUUAUAAGUCAGUGGUCAAAUCGUGGGGUUCAACCCCAUAUAGCCGUUGAAACUGGGGAUCUAGAGUGUGCGAGAGGUAUGCGGAAUGCGUGGUGUAGCGGUGAAAUGCAUAGAUAUCACGCAGAACACCGAUUGCGAAGGCAGCAUACCGGUGCACAACUGACGCUCAGGAACGAAAGCGUGGGUAUCGAACAGGAUUAGAUACCCUAGUAGUA